rnacentral:rRNA from 1 species
UACGUAGGGUGCAAGCGUUGUCCGGAAUUAUUGGGCGUAAAGAGCUCGUAGGCGGUUUGUCGCGUCUGCUGUGAAAACCUAAGGCUCAACCUUGGGCUUGCAGUGGGUACGGGCAGACUAGAGUGCGGUAGGGGUGACUGGAAUUCCUGGUGUAGCGGUGGAAUGCGCAGAUAUCAGGAGGAACGCCGGUGGCGAAAGCGACGUGCUGGACCUCUUCUGACGCUGGAGGCG